rnacentral:rRNA from 1 species
UUGAACGCUGGCGGCAUGCUUUACACAUGCAAGUCGAACGGCAGCGGGGGCUUCGGCCUGCCGGCGAGUGGCGAACGGGUGAGUAAUGCAUCGGAACGUACCCAGUCGUGGGGGAUAACUACGCGAAAGCGUAGCUAAUACCGCAUAAGUCCUGAGGGAGAAAGCGGGGGAUCGCAAGACCUCGCGCGGAUGGAGCGGCCGAUGGCGGAUUAGCUAGUUGGUGGGGUAAAGGCCUACCAAGGCGACGAUCCGUAGCUGGUCUGAGAGGACGACCAGCCACACUGGAACUGAGACACGGUCCAGACUCCUACGGGAGGCAGCAGUGGGGAAUUUUGGACAAUGGGCGCAAGCCUGAUCCAGCCAUUCCGCGUGAGUGAAGAAGGCCUUCGGGUUGUAAAGCUCUUUCGGCAGGGAAGAAACGGUUUGGGCUAAUACCCCGAGCUAAUGACGGUACCUGAAGAAGAAGCACCGGCUAACUACGU